UGGGGAAUUUUGGACAAUGGGCGAAAGCCUGAUCCAGCCAUGCCGCGUGAGUGAAGAAGGCCUUCGGGUUGUAAAGCUCUUUUAGUCGGAAAGAAAGAGUUGCAAUGAAUAAUUUUGAUUUAUGACGGUACCGACAGAAAAAGCACCGGCUAACUACGUGCCAGCAGCCGCGGUAAUACGUAGGGUGCGAGCGUUAAUCGGAAGUACUGGGCGUAAAGGGUGCGCAGGCGGUCUUGCAAGUCAGAUGUGAAAGCCCCGGGCUUAACCUGGGAAUUGCGUUUGAAACUACAAGCCUAGAGUGCAGCAGAGGGGAGUGGAAUUCCAUGUGUAGCAGUGAAAUGCGUAGAGAUGUGGAAGAACACCGAUGGCGAAGGCAGCUCCCUGGGUUGACACUGACGCUCAUGCACGAAAGCGUGGGGAGCAAACA
rnacentral:rRNA from 1 species